rnacentral:rRNA from 1 species
UGGUUAAGGUCUAGAGAAGGUCGCAGUUCCGCGCGGGGCCCAUGUACAAGUCUCCUGGAACGGGGCGUCAUAGAGGGUGAGAAUCCCGUCUCUGACAUGGACUCCCAGGGCAUAGUCGAUGCGUCUCAAGAGUCGAGUUGUUUGGGAAUGCAGCUCCAAAUGGGUGGUAAACUCCAUCUAAAGCUAAACAUAGGCGAGAGACCGAUAGCGAACAAGUACCGUGAGGGAAAGAUGAAAAGAACUUUGGAAAGAGAGUUAAACAGUACGUGAAAUUGUUGAAAGGGAAACGCUUGAAGUCAGUCACGUCGGCUUGGGAUCAGCCUGGCAACUGCGAGGGUGCACUUCCUGGUCGACGGGUCAGCACCAGUUUCGACCGCUGGUAGAAAGGUCGGGGGAAUGUGGCCAUCCUCGGGAUGUGUUAUAGCCUCGAUUGCAUGCAUCGGUUGGGAUUGAGGAACUCAGUCGUCGCCGCAAGGUCCGGGUUUUCGAACCACGUCCGUCGUCUCAGGAUGCUGGCACAAU